rnacentral:rRNA from 1 species
UACAGAGGGGGCAAGCGUUGUUCGGAAUUACUGGGCGUAAAGGGCGCGUAGGCGGCCUGCUAAGUCGAACGUGAAAUCCCCGGGCUCAACCCGGGAACUGCGUUCGAUACUGGCUGGCUUGAAUCCGGGAGAGGGAUGCAGAAUUCCAGGUGUAGCGGUGAAAUGCGUAGAUAUCUGGAGGAAUACCGGUGGCGAAGGCGGCAUCCUGGACCGACAUUGACGCUGAGGAGCGAAAGCUAGGGGAGCAAACGGGAUUAGAUACCCUUGUAGU